AUGUUGAAAGGCCGUAUCUUUUGAAAACAAAUGUCCGCCAUAUUGAAUCGUCAUUUUCUACCACAUUUAUAAACAUCCUUAAUUUGCAUAUUGUAUUCUUGAAUGCCACUCCUGUAGACAAAUCAAUAUUGUUCUUUCACUUUGAUCCAAAUUCUUCUAUGCUUAGUUUUCUAUAUAUUGUUUCUAAUGAUAAUAUACACUCAUGGACAAAACUUAAGGAAGUUGUACCUUUCAGCAUGUAUAUCGGGAUUGAGACAAUAACUCUGAAAGAUAUUACAGUGAUCUUUAUUGAAGACACACGAGAUAACCAAGUGUGAACAGCCUCUGUCUCUUUCAAAAAAAACGAUUGUCGAUAUCAAAGACUUUCCACUUCUUUAAGUUUUCUCCAUGGGUGUAGGUACACCUUUUUAAAAUUUAGAUAUUUUUACCAAUUGAAGAAUACCUUAUAUUAUGAAGCCCUCUUAACCAUUGUAUAUUUAUGGCAAAAAAUGACUUUUUCCUAGUCUAAUCUUCAACCAUUUCUUUACAAAUGAAGAAGACACAAAAUUAAGGGUUCUGAUAAGAGGACUUGUGCAUUACAAUACUGAAAAUUCAAGAAGAUCUUGAAAACCAAAGGUUUGAACCACUGAAACGAGCCAGGUUUCGUAGGGCUUAUGUUUUUGAUGUCUCUCAUUUACAUAUUCCUAUUGGUAGAAAGUAUUGCAUAUAGAGUAUGCAAAUUUCGCCAAAAUUUGCACAUGCUAAAAACAUUCAGAUAAGAAUGUAAAAAAAGUCUUGAGUUGGAGUAGAUUUUUUAUUGCAAACAACAAUGACAAAAAUGAUCGGAUAAAUACUAGCUAAUUUUGUUGUCAAAAUGUCAACUGGUUCUUACAACAGAGCCUGGUCAAUAGUCAUGCUAAAUUAUAAAGAUAAUCAUAGAAAUUGAGGAAAAUUAUUUGAAGAUGUAAUUUUAGGUAUUGUCCAAUAAAUCAAGCCGCUUUGUUUUUCAACUAUAAAAACGUUAGUUUUAUAAAAUAUACAUUUAAGUUAUAUCUUUCUAUGUCAUAUGUUUGUUUAUAGUGUAUCCAUAUUUGAAUUUAAGAAUAAAUAUUAAAAACUUAAAAUAAGAAACUAUGCAAUUAUAAUUUUCAAAUACAGUAGAACCUCUCUGUAAAGGACACCUAAUUGCAGAGCCAAAUGAGAGUUGCUAAUUAGUAAAAAAUGGUAAUUUUGCAAAUGAAAACUGUCCUUUACAAAGGUGUCCUCUAGUGUGAAUGUCCUCUCAUAGAGGUUCUACUCUAUAUGAUACAAAAAAAUAAAAAAUAAAAUAAAACGUAAACAUGUACAAUAAAUUGAUAAAGAGGGAGCAACCUCUCGCAAUAUUUUGAGAAAAAAAUUGUUUUUUUUUUUCUUUACAGAUCCAGGUACGCCCUUUUAUAUAAAUUUGUUUUUAUUGCUUUAAAUAAACGUAUAAAAUUUUGUUAUCACAGAAUAUUGAGUGGUAUUGUGGCUAAUUCCUUAUCAUCAUCUUCAAGUUUUUUUACUGGAGUCAUAAACAUAAGACAUUGUGUUCUAAUGCGUAUUUAACAAUAGAGUUGCAUCUUUUGGUGCAUGAACCCAUCUGUUGUAUCUUUUAUACGGGUUCAUUUACCUUUAGCUUUAUAUAUAUUUAAUAUAGUUACAGCCUUUAUGUAUAUAGACAAUUAAUAUACCGCCGUGCUAGAACAAUUAUAUAUUUAUUAUGCGGCGUUGUUUACAUACUGUGUUGCCAGAUCUUUUGUAGCACAGAUUAUAACUAUAUACAACAUGUUCCCCUUUUAAUUAAAGUCCGGGGUCGAAUCUUUUCGGAGGCUUUACCACACGUCCACUUCUAGUGGUGUAGGCAGUGCCUCCUUCAUUGUAGUUUCCUAUGGGAGUUGAAGUGGAUGGGGCCAACUCUUCAGGACUGAGGUUCAGGCGGGGAAAUUCUCCCGGUUCCCUUUGACCACUGGACUCCGAUGAUGUCGAGGGGGCUGGAUCCAAUUGGGGCGAUGACUGGCUGCUCCUUCUCUGUCCAACAGGAUAACUUCUGGGCCGUAGGUGAACUCUGUUCCGUUUUAACAUUCGGCCCUCGUUGUUCUGAAUGAUGUAUGAUCGAGGCUGGUUGGCUUCUCCAAUGAUGGUAGCUGGUCUCCAGGCAUUGCUAGUUUUGGCAUUUACCUGUUCACCAGAACUCAUUUUAGGAAGUAUUUUGGCAUUUCGGUCAUAAUAUUCUUUCAUCUUAUAUUGAUUUUCCCUCUUCUGCUGUAGAAUGUUUUCCGUGCUAAUGAAAGCAGGUUUUAGCUUUGUGGUUUUCAUUGGGAUCAAGGUUCUCAAGUUUCUUCCCAUUAGCAUCUGAGCUGGGGACGGUAGAUUAUUUGACGGAGUUGUUCUCAGGGCUAUUAAACACAUAUAAGGAUCAGUGUUGUCUUGACGGCAUUUCUUAAGUUGCUUCUUUACUGUUUGCACCAUCCUCUCCACUAAUCCGUUUGAUUUUGGGUAUCCUGGGCUAGAGGUUUUAUGUUCUAUGUCCCAUUCAUUUGUAAAAUUAGUAAAGUCUUGUGAUGUAAAUGGUGGUCCAUUAUCAGUGAUGAUGAUCUCUGGAAUCCCAUGUCUUGCGAAGGUAGAUUUCAAAACUGGUAGAAUCUCUUUUGCUGAAGUUGAUGCUACCUUGAUGACUUCAGGAAAGCUGCUGUAGUAGUCUACUAUUAUUAUGAAUACAGAUUGGUCUAGAUAGAAGAAAUCAAUAGCUACUUUUUGCCAAGGGUAGUCUGCUAUUUCGUGAGGUAUAAGUGGUUCUUUCCUUUGCGAAGGUUGUGAUUCUUGACAAAUUCUACACUUAUAAACCAUCUCUUCUAUUUCUCUAUCCAGUCCAGGCCAAUAAAUAGCUUCAUGUGCUCUGUUUUUACAAGCAGAGAUCCCUUGAUGAGACAUGUGUAGUGUUUGCAAGAUGCUUUCCCUUUGGACUUUAGGGAUGACAAGUCUUUGUCCUCUACAAAUCAGGUCUUUCCAUAUAUAUAGUUCUUCUUUACAAUGCCAGUAGGGCUUAACAGCAUAGUCCACACUUUUCUUAUGAAUAGGCCACCCAUUCAGUAUAUGAUCCCUUAAUUUUAUCAUUUCUUCAUCUGACUCCAUAUCUCUGAGAAUUUCCUGGUAUCUUUUAGUGGUCACCUUCAGAUUUAGAGUCAUAAUGGUGUUCUGGAGAUCCAGAUCUGAGGUGUCGAUGGUUUCCUCUGAAAUUGAAUCUCUAGAUAGAGUGUCUGCGGUGUGAAUCACUUUUCCUGGUACAUAUUCUAAAUUAAAAUCAUAUCGCAUCAAUUUCAAGACCAGUCUUUCAAGUCUUGGCGAUAAUUCCUCUAGUGGCUUUUUUAGUAUAGCCAACAAGGGUUUAUGAUCCGUCUGGGCUGUGAACUUUCUUCCAUACAAAUGAUAGUUAAAUCUUUGGCAUCCAUACCAGAGAGCUAAGAGCUCCUUUUCAAUCUGGGCAUAUUUUUUCUGAGUGUUAUUCAAGGAUGCGGAUGCAAAAGCGAUGGGUCUUCCCUCUUGCAUCAAGACAGCCCCAAGCCCAUGUUGACUAGCGUCCACUGAAAGUGUUACCUUCCGAUGGGGGUCAAAGAGGCCAAGAACUGGAGGAUUUGAUACCAAAUUUUUCAGCUCAAUGAAUUCUUUUUCUAUAGCCUCAUUCCAUGUCCACAGGGUAUUCUUUUUUAGGAGUUGUCUUAACAAGACAGUUUUAUCUGCCAGAUUAUGCAUGAAUUUAGCUAGAUAGUUCACAGUUCCCAAAAAUCUUUGAAGAGAUGUCUUGUCCAUUGGUCUUUUUAUUUUUUGUAUUGCUUCUAAUUUAGAUGGAUCUGCAGAGAUGCCAUUCUUGGAUAUCUCAUGUCCAAUGAACUUAACUUUUUCUUGGGCCAGUUGCAUUUUAUUGAAUUCAAACUUUAAAUUAUUUUUUCUAGCAAUUUCCAAAACCGUAAUCAGUCUACUAUUGUGCUCCGUGAGGGAGUUUCCGUAUAUUAUUAUAUCAUCCAUGUAUACUUUUACUCCUUCAAUUCCUGUAAACAUACUUUGCAUUUUUUUAUAGAAAACUUCUGGAGCGCUGCAAAUACCAAAAGGUAACCGAUGGAAUCUGUAAUACCCAUAAGGUGUAGCCAUUGUUAAAAGGCUAGAUGACUUUUCGUCUAACUUGAUUUGCCAAAAGGCUGACUUAGCAUCAAGUACUGUAUAGAUGGGUGAUUUUGUGAUAUCAGCAAUGAUGCCUUCAGGGGCAGGAAGUUGACGAUAUUCCAUUUUAAUCCAUGGAUUUAGCUCUCUAGGGUCCAUACAGAUACGAACCUUUCCAUUUGGUUUCUUAAUGAUUACCAUCGGGUGUGCCCACUCUGCUGGUUGGUCUACCUUUGAGAUGAUCUUUUGUUCCUCCAUCGAUUUUAGCUCCAUCUCAACUGGUUUUUUCAGUGCAAACGGAAUUCGGCGAGCUAACUGAAUUCUUGGAUGUGCAUUUUCUCUCAGGAUCACAGAAUGCUCUCCAGGGAGUGUUCCGAUCUCAUCAAAGACAUCUCUGUAGGACUCUAUUAUCUUUGUAGGUGAAGCAUCCAUCUUUGUCCUAGUAUGGUCCUGUUCCAACGACUCUACUUUUAAUAUCAGCUCUAAUUUUUUACACGCUGCCAAUCCCAAAAUUGGUGGAGCUGGCAAAUCCACGACUAGAAAUUCAAGGAUUUCAGAUUUUUUCCCAGAGGUACAUGAAGCCUUGCAUUUGCCCCUUAUUGGUACUUUUUCUCCUGUAUAUGAAUAAACCGCAAUCCCAGUUGGAUAUAUGCAGGGUUUAUUUUGCCAAUUUUUAAUGGUAUCCAAUGGCAGGAUGUUCACCUGUGCUCCUGUGUCUAAUUUAAAAUUAACUGAAUUAUUCUCCACCAAGAUUAUUUUAGUCCACUCUAGACCAGUAAUGCUAUCUAGGGAUAGGUAUUGAAGACACAUUUCUUCUUCCUCUUCCGCUCUUCCCUCCAACAUAUGCACUCUGUUCCUACACAUUUUAGCAAAAUGGUUUGGUUUUUUACAUGAAUUGCAUAUUUUACCAUAUGCAAAACAUUUACCAUAUGGAUGUCUGGAACCACAAUUUUGGCAAACCUUUGCAUUAGGAUGUUCCUCAGAUACAUUAGGUUUUCUACCAACUGGAUAUUUGAAAUUCUUUUUAUAUUGCUUUUUAUAUUUUAUAGAAUGUAAAUCAACAUCUUCUCUAGUUAUAUUUUUUACUUGUUGUCUAGAAGUUUCAGUAGCUCUUCCCAAGUCUAUGGCUUUAGCUAAAGAAAGAUCAGGAUCUUGUAGCAUCCUUUCUUUUAAAGCUUUGUCUUUAAUUCCAAUUAUAAUUCUAUCUCUGACCAAGGAAUCUGCAAGCUCUCCAAAUUCGCAGUCCAUGCUUUUAUUUUUCAAUUCAGUUACAUAGUCAUCAAAAUUCUGAUUCUCCCCUUGUUCCGUUGUAAAAAACUGGUACCUCUUAUAGGUUGUGUUUUUAUAUGGUUUAAAGUGUCCAUCAAACAGUUCAAGUAUAUCCGGAACAGUCGGAGAGGCAUCAGUUUCUUGUAUUUUAAAUGUAGAGUAUAUAUCUAGGGCUAACUCACCAAUAUUAUAGAGUAGAAUAGCCCUUUGUCUUGGAAUAGAUUUUUUAUCUAUUUCUGUGGCUAUGUAAAACAUUUGGAAUCUCUUUUUCCAUUUACCCCAUGCUUCUGAUGGGUUUGUUCCAGGCACAAAUGGCUGCAAACUAUUCCCGGUACUCGAGGCCAUUUUUCAACGUGUUAGGCUUAAUUGAUAUUUGAAAUUUUACUUAUCUUUCAAAAUCCCGGCGCUGCCACCAUGUUGUAU